CACAUGGCCAGCAGGCCAGUUCUUGGGUGAGACCUGGCUGUUCGCAACGCACAAAGCCCAUGUGGCUCUGAAAAAUGGCCGCCACGGCUCCAACAAAAUGGCUGCCGUGGCUGCAAAAACAGAGCGCGGCCUACCGCGUGGUGAUCGUGCGGCACUGCAAGCGGCCAGGGGCCACGGGGAGCAGGUGGGGAAUAAGGGAGAAGGGUAUGGGCGACAGAGCCCAGCAGGGGAACCCGGGGAGGGGGAACAGAUUACAGGCAGAGCCAAAGCAUCAUAGCAGGGGCACCCAUUCCCCAUACAGCAGAGUGAGAAAACAGUAUAAAGUAACCCAGAAUAACAAUAAAUCAAUGAGCAGUAUACAGAAUCUGUCAGAUAAAUGGCCUCAAUACAGCAACAGAUGUUAACAAGUGAUACAGCAGCUACAUAGCAUGAAGUGGUAUAGGAAAUAACACAGCAAUAGACUGCCUAGCUAAACACAGCAAUAGACUGCCUAGAUAAACACAGCAAUAGACUGCCUAGAUAAACCCAGCAAUAGACUGCCUAGCUAAACACAGCCAUAGACUGCCUAGCUAAAUCCAGCAAGAACCCUGCCUAAAUAAAUCCAGCAAUUAAGCUGCCUGAACAAACCUAACACAUAGACUGAUUAAAUAGACUGUUUAAAUAAACAAGCAGCAUGUAGAAUAAAACAACAACCAAGAGCAGAGACAACUCUGAGUUGGUGAGUGCUCACCUGGAGGCAGC